rfam:Danio rerio chromosome 4, GRCz11 reference primary assembly.
GUCUCUGUGGCGCAAUCGGUUAGCGCGAUCGGCUGUUAACUGAAAGGUUGGUGGUUCAAGCCCACCCACGGACG